CACCAGAUGAUUUUACUUGUCAAGGGGAGAGCGCUGGUGCUUAAUGGUUUAAAUACAUUAGGUCUGCUGGGCCUAUGGCACCUACCUUUUGGGAUGGGUAAAUUUACACAAUUACACUAUAGGAAUUUCUACAAAUUCCCUUCAACAAUCUGCCUUUAAUAAUUUUAGGGAGAAGAUGAAAUUGGUUUAAAACCAGAAGAAAUUGGUCCUCUCUCCUAUGUUACUGGGUAUGUCCUGCAGUCCCUCUACAGGAAAAGUAAAAACUCAAAGCACUGGAACUCUCCUCGUAGUCAGGAACUGCAGUUUCUACUUCAGUCCCUAAAACUUGAAGAAACCAAAGAAGACCAAUACAUUCAGUCUUUAUCAAGAGGCGGUCUUUGGACCCCAAAUGAAACAAUAAAAAACAUUGCUAAAACAACAGAACUAAUGUUUCGCCAGCACCUAAAAUUGAACAAGAGUGCAUCUGUUCCCACCGAUAAAGUUGUAGACCAGGUUCUUGCAACACCUGCUGUGACAAGUUUAUGGGAAAACAUCAUUACUGAUUUGGAUUCUCAAAUUUCUUCUGAGUGCAACAAGCUUGCUCUGGAAAACUUUAUUAAAUUGUACGUUCAAGUCCGUAGCUUUUCCUAUGCUAGAGACAUAGUUAGUAAAUACAAGCUGAAGGAGAAGGCAUUGAGGAGCAAGGCUUUGAGAAAGGAACUGAAAAAUGCAGAUAUUUUAUAGAUGUAUAAAACUGUGGGCACUGAACUACAGAAUAAAGACAAACAGAAGGUUGACUCAGCAAAAAAAGGCGUAACUGCUCCCACGCCAUGAUUCGUCAUCAAAAUGCUUACGCCAUGGUCCUAACCAGUGUGCUUAUGAGGUGCUCAUUCUCCCUUCUGCAUGUCCACCAUUUUGAAUAUUAUAAGCACACUGCCAAUGGUUAGGACCAUGGCAUCAGCAUUUUGAUGACAAAUCAUAAGUCGGGCUUCUGUAUAUAUAGUCUCUAUUAUGUGACUGAGUGCUGCUUGUGGAGUAUUUAUUAUAGGCAUUAGUAUAAUUUCAGUAUUGAAAAAUGGCCUUUGAGCAUUCUGAUUGGCUCCAUCAGCAGUAGCUCUGAGGUAAUAGUUACUACUCUGAGCAGUAACUGUUGCUUUUCUCAAAAAAUGGCUGAAAAUCAAACAGAAGUAAAUUAUUUAUUCGGUUUGUUUCAGCUCAGUGAAUAUAGGCUUGUAGUUGCCUUCAGCGAUUAAUUGUUAAUUAAGUAGGCCAGUGGCAAAGCCAGCCUGGGAAUUUGGUCAUGCAAUGCAAAUUUUAAAUCAUUCAUUUCUUUAGAAAUUGAAAACAUUUGCAUAGCAUGACUAAAUUGUCAGGCUAGCUUUGCCACUACAAUAGGCAGAGACUUUUUGUUAAUAGAAGGCUCAAUAGUUUAUGAAAUCUGAAACACUUAUUGUAAAUAUUGUAUAUAGUAAACAAAUUAUUUUAAUAAUAUUGAUAUUAUUAGUGCAUUUAACAAUGGGACAGAAUAAAUAUUUACACAUAAAGGCAACUAAAGUCAUGUUGAAAUCCUUGAAGUUUCUGACCUCAUGCACAGGACCGUAACUUGGCCUCAUGCACAGGACUAUAACCUGGGUAUUAUUACAGCUGGGGGGUGUGAGCUUAUUUUGCCCGACAAAAAGGGCAUGGUGGAAUUCAUGCCUGAUGGACAUUUCAGGUGCCCAAAAUUGUUAUUUUUCAAAAAAUUAUGUAAAAUAUUUUGCUGAAUUACAUUUUUUGUGCCUGAUAAGUAUGUCAUUAAAAUUGACAGACAAAACUGUAAUGGGUGGGGGUGUCACCCCCCCCCCCCAAUAGUUACGGCCCUGCUCAUACAUGUCGCCUCUGAAUAGUUUCGGUCAUAGUAUUAUUUAUAAUAGAUGUUUACAUGAGACCGGGAUGAAAAAACUCAGACUGGUCUGAAGUCAUUCCGCCUGCUGGACCAAGCCGACUGACUUCAGACAGGCAUGAAUUCAGACCGGGAUGAAUGUAAACACAAAUACAUUUCAGACCGGUCUCGGCUGUAACCUUGACAUUGGAACAACAUGUACCAGCUAACAAAAGCCAUCUAGAAAAGAAAAUUGCCUGGCAAGAGGAAUAAAUUGAAAAUUUUGUGAUUUUUGUACCGGUCUCAUGUAAACAUGUUGACUUUCAAUUUUCAUUCUGGUUUGACUUGGUCCCGGUCUCAUGUAAACAGGGCCUUAGAAUAGUAUAGUGCGUAUUACAUACCCAAUGAUAAAAGAUUACUUUUUACAACUUGCAACCCAUUGAAGUGAACACUUUGUCAGACAGUUCAAAGACUUUGCUGUUUCAAUAUUCUUACUGUUGAGCCCAGUGUUUUUGAGUUUAAAUACCAAAUUAUGAAUAAAUAUUAAAUUAAAAGAAG
rnacentral:lncRNA from 1 species